GGAUUAUGGCUGAACGCCUCUAAGUCAGAAUCCGGGCUAGAGCGACGCGUGCGCCCGCCGCCCGUUUGCCGACCCGCAGUAGGGACCUCACGGUCCCCAGAGGCACGUGCCGUUGGUGAAGCCCGUGCGGCGGAAGAGCUGCACGGGCCGCCUUGAAACGUAAUUCCCACCGAGCGGCGGGUAGAAUCCUUUGCAGACGACUUAAAUACGCGACGGGGUAUUGUAAGUGG
rnacentral:rRNA from 1 species